rnacentral:tRNA from 1 species
GGCUCGUUGGUAUAGGGGUAUGAUUCUCGCUUCUUGUUUUUGGAGUCCCGGGUUCAAUUCCCGGACGAGCCC